rfam:Rattus norvegicus strain BN; Sprague-Dawley chromosome 15 CRA_213000034406407, whole genome shotgun sequence.
CCACACAGCCCUGUACCCAGAGUCUCCCCAGACAAUGCACCUGGCGCUGUUGGCGAGUGAUUAUAGUGAGUU